GACGAACGCUGGCGGCGUGCUUAACACAUGCAAGUCGAGCGGGGUCCAACCUGUCGCAAGACAGGGGAAGACCUAGCGGCGAACGGGUGAGUAGCACGUGAGGAACCUGCCCCGAAGACCGGGAUAACACCGGGAAACCGGUGCUAAUACCGGAUGCCCUCAGAGAGUCGCAUGGCUCAUUGAGGAAAUGGAUUCCGCUUCGGGAGGGCCCCGCGGCCUAUCAGCUUGUUGGUGGGGUAACGGCCGACCAAGGCUCCGACGGGUAGCUGGUCUGAGAGGACGACCAGCCACACUGGGACUGAGAAACGGCCCAGACUCCUACGGGAGGCAGCAGUGGGGAAUCUUGCGCAAUGGGCGAAAGCCUGACGCAGCAACGCCGCGUGCGGGACGAAGGCCUUCGGGUUGUAAACCGCUUUCAGCAGGGACGAACAUGACGGUACCUGCAGAAGAAGCCCCGGCCAACUACGUGCCAGCCGCCGCCGUAAUAC
rnacentral:rRNA from 1 species